rnacentral:misc_RNA from 1 species
GAGUGUGUCUCAUCCUUAAUACUGAUUAAUCAGGACUCUGAUAUAGACAUUGAAAGAUCAAACAGACAGUGUACUUAGCCAAAAUGAAAAAUACACAACUCUCUGCUUCAUAAAACAAAAAGUGAAUAAAAAAGUAUUUGAAAAAAAAAUGUGUAAAUGAAUAUUAUUACGUAAGAGUGACUAUAAUUUUUGUACUUUGAAAUAUGGAGGAUGCUCAAAGCUGGAUGUGUAUUUAUCUACAUAUUUUGUUUAAAUCAUGUUCAGUGACUUCAUCAAUAUGAAUUCCGUCCAGUAUAUUGUUUAUAUUUUUUAACAGACUGUAACUUGUUUUUCACCCUGUUUAUACAGCUGUGAUAAUCUCCAAACCGUCCAGAUUGAUUUAGUAUAUGUUUAAUGUCAUUUAUUUAUACAGUAUAGGUACUUUUUAAAAAAAAGAUUAUUCAUUGUUUUGCUUUCAUAUUUGUUAUUGUUUACAUUUGAACAAACUUUUACAUGAUUUGUUUUUUGAAAUGAAAUAAAAUCUUAAAAAAU